rnacentral:snoRNA from 1 species
ACUUGGCCUUAUCAAAGCCACAGCUGCUUCUCGAUAGCUGCUGUGGUAAUAAAAAGAAAAGGAAAAAAAAAAGAGGCCAGGGGUAAAACAUUUCCUUGACAGUUAUGGUUCUAUUUGCUGUGACUGAACUACAUUUUUGGAAAAAACAUUA